UUAAGCGACUAAGCGUACACGGUGGAUGCCCUGGCAGUCAGAGGCGAUGAAGGACGUGCUAAUCUGCGAUAAGCGUCGGUAAGGUGAUAUGAACCGUUAUAACCGGCGAUUUCCGAAUGGGGAAACCCAGUGUGUUUCGACACACUAUCAUUAACUGAAUCCAUAGGUUAAUGAGGCGAACCGGGGGAACUGAAACAUCUAAGUACCCCGAGGAAAAGAAAUCAACCGAGAUUCCCCCAGUAGCGGCGAGCGAACGGGGAGCAGCCCAGAGCCUGAAUCAGUGUGUGUGUUAGUGGAAGCGUCUGGAAAGGCGCGCGAUACAGGGUGACAGCCCCGUACACAAAAAUGCACAUGCUGUGAGCUCGAUGAGUAGGGCGGGACACGUGGUAUCCUGUCUGAAUAUGGGGGGACCAUCCUCCAAGGCUAAAUACUCCUGACUGACCGAUAGUGAACCAGUACCGUGAGGGAAAGGCGAAAAGAACCCCGGCGAGGGGAGUGAAAAAGAACCUGAAACCGUGUACGUACAAGCAGUGGGAGCACGCUUCGGCGUGUGACUGCGUACCUUUUGUAUAAUGGGUCAGCGACUUAUAUUCUGUAGCAAGGUUAACCGAAUAGGGGAGCCGAAGGGAAACCGAGUCUUAACUGGGCGUUAAGUUGCAGGGUAUAGACCCGAAACCCGGUGAUCUAGCCAUGGGCAGGUUGAAGGUUGGGUAACACUAACUGGAGGACCGAACCGACUAAUGUUGAAAAAUUAGCGGAUGACUUGUGGCUGGGGGUGAAAGGCCAAUCAAACCGGGAGAUAGCUGGUUCUCCCCGAAAGCUAUUUAGGUAGCGCCUCGUGAAUUCAUCUCCGGGGGUAGAGCACUGUUUCGGCAAGGGGGUCAUCCCGACUUACCAACCCGAUGCAAACUGCGAAUACCGGAGAAUGUUAUCACGGGAGACACACGGCGGGUGCUAACGUCCGUCGUGAAGAGGGAAACAACCCAGACCGCCAGCUAAGGUCCCAAAGUCAUGGUUAAGUGGGAAACGAUGUGGGAAGGCCCAGACAGCCAGGAUGUUGGCUUAGAAGCAGCCAUCAUUUAAAGAAAGCGUAAUAGCUCACUGGUCGAGUCGGCCUGCGCGGAAGAUGUAACGGGGCUAAACCAUGCACCGAAGCUGCGGCAGCGACGCUGAUGCGUUGUUGGGUAGGGGAGCGUUCUGUAAGCCUGUGAAGGUGUACUGUGAGGUAUGCUGGAGGUAUCAGAAGUGCGAAUGCUGACAUAAGUAACGAUAAAGCGGGUGAAAAGCCCGCUCGCCGGAAGACCAAGGGUUCCUGUCCAACGUUAAUCGGGGCAGGGUGAGUCGACCCCUAAGGCGAGGCCGAAAGGCGUAGUCGAUGGGAAACAGGUUAAUAUUCCUGUACUUGGUGUUACUGCGAAGGGGGGACGGAGAAGGCUAUGUUGGCCGGGCGACGGUUGUCCCGGUUUAAGCGUGUAGGCUGGUUUUCCAGGCAAAUCCGGAAAAUCAAGGCUGAGGCGUGAUGACGAGGCACUACGGUGCUGAAGCAACAAAUGCCCUGCUUCCAGGAAAAGCCUCUAAGCAUCAGGUAACAUCAAAUCGUACCCCAAACCGACACAGGUGGUCAGGUAGAGAAUACCAAGGCGCUUGAGAGAACUCGGGUGAAGGAACUAGGCAAAAUGGUGCCGUAACUUCGGGAGAAGGCACGCUGAUAUGUAGGUGAGGUCCCUCGCGGAUGGAGCUGAAAUCAGUCGAAGAUACCAGCUGGCUGCAACUGUUUAUUAAAAACACAGCACUGUGCAAACACGAAAGUGGACGUAUACGGUGUGACGCCUGCCCGGUGCCGGAAGGUUAAUUGAUGGGGUUAGCGGUAACGCGAAGCUCUUGAUCGAAGCCCCGGUAAACGGCGGCCGUAACUAUAACGGUCCUAAGGUAGCGAAAUUCCUUGUCGGGUAAGUUCCGACCUGCACGAAUGGCGUAAUGAUGGCCAGGCUGUCUCCACCCGAGACUCAGUGAAAUUGAAUUCGCUGUGAAGAUGCAGUGUACCCGCGGCAAGACGGAAAGACCCCGUGAACCUUUACUAUAGCUUGACACUGAACAUUGAGCCUUGAUGUGUAGGAUAGGUGGGAGGCUUUGAAGUGUGGACGCCAGUCUGCAUGGAGCCGACCUUGAAAUACCACCCUUUAAUGUUUGAUGUUCUAACGUUGACCCGUAAUCCGGGUUGCGGACAGUGUCUGGUGGGUAGUUUGACUGGGGCGGUCUCCUCCUAAAGAGUAACGGAGGAGCACGAAGGUUGGCUAAUCCUGGUCGGACAUCAGGAGGUUAGUGCAAUGGCAUAAGCCAGCUUGACUGCGAGCGUGACGGCGCGAGCAGGUGCGAAAGCAGGUCAUAGUGAUCCGGUGGUUCUGAAUGGAAGGGCCAUCGCUCAACGGAUAAAAGGUACUCCGGGGAUAACAGGCUGAUACCGCCCAAGAGUUCAUAUCGACGGCGGUGUUUGGCACCUCGAUGUCGGCUCAUCACAUCCUGGGGCUGAAGUAGGUCCCAAGGGUAUGGCUGUUCGCCAUUUAAAGUGGUACGCGAGCUGGGUUUAGAACGUCGUGAGACAGUUCGGUCCCUAUCUGCCGUGGGCGCUGGAGAACUGAGGGGGGCUGCUCCUAGUACGAGAGGACCGGAGUGGACGCAUCACUGGUGUUCGGGUUGUCAUGCCAAUGGCACUGCCCGGUAGCUAAAUGCGGAAGAGAUAAGUGCUGAAAGCAUCUAAGCACGAAACUUGCCCCGAGAUGAGUUCUCCCUGACUCCUUGAGAGUCCUGAAGGAACGUUGAAGACGACGACGUUGAUAGGCCGGGUGUGUAAGCGCAGCGAUGCGUUGAGCUAACCGGUACUAAUGAACCGUGAGGCUUAACCUU
rnacentral:rRNA from 1 species